rfam:Pan troglodytes isolate Yerkes chimp pedigree #C0471 (Clint) chromosome 9, whole genome shotgun sequence.
GUCUGGCUCAGUGGUGUAUGCCUGUAGUUCCAGCUACUUAGGAGGCUGAGGUGGGGGGAUUGCUUGAGCCCAGGAGUUCCAGGCUGCAAUGAGCUAUGAUCGUGCUUGUGAAUAGCUACUGCACUCCAGCUUGGGCAACAUAGCAAGAUCCCAUCUCCA